rnacentral:rRNA from 1 species
AAAAAGCUCGUAGUUGGAUUUCUGUUGAGGACGGCCGGUCCGCACUAUGUGCGUGUAUCUGGUUCGGCCUAGGCAUCCUCUUGAGGAACGUUCCUGCGCUUGAUUGCGUGGGGCGGUAUUCAAGACUUUUACUUUGAGGAAAUUAGAGUGUUCACGGCAGGCAAGCGCCUUGAAUACAUUAGCAUGGAAUAAUAAUAUAGGACCUUGGUUCUAUUUUGUUGGCUUCUAGAGCCGAGGUAAUGAUUAAUAGGGAUAGUUGGGGGCAUUCGAAUUUAACUGUCAGAGGUGAAAUUCUUGGAUUUCCGAAAGACGAACUACUGCGAAAGCAUUUACCAAGGAUGUUUUCAUUAAUCAAGAACGAAAGUUAGGGGAUCGAAGAUGAUUAGAUACCAUCGUA